GAUGAACGCUGGCGGCGUGCCUAAUACAUGCAAGUCGAGCGAACGGACGAGAAGCUUGCUUCUCUGAUGUUAGCGGCGGACGGGUGAGUAACACGUGGAUACCUACCUAUAAGGCUGGGGUAACUUCGGGAAACCGGAGCUAAUACCGGAUAAUAUUUUUAACCGCAUGGUUCAAAAGUGAAAGAAGGGCUUUCUGGCACUUAUAGAUGGAUCCGGGCUCGAUUAGCCAGUUUGGAAGGUAACGGCCUACCAAGGCAACGAUGGAUAGCCGACCUGAGAGGGUGAUCCGCCCACACGGAACUGAGACACGGUCCCGAAUCCUACGGGAGGCCGGCGUAGGGAAUCUUCCGCAAUGGGCCAAAGCCUUAAGGAGCAACGCCGCGUGAGGUAUGAAGGUCCUCGGGUUCUAAAACCUUGUUAAUUGGGAAGAAAAUAUGUGGAAGUAACCGUGCACAUCUUGACGGUACCUAAUCAGAAAGGCACGGCUAACUUCGUG
rnacentral:rRNA from 1 species